UACGAAGGGGGCUAGCGUUGUUCGGAAUCACUGGGCGUAAAGCGUACGUAGGCGGACCGUUAAGUCGGGGGGUGAAAUCCCAGGGCUCAACCCUGGAACUGCCUUCGAUACUGGCGGUCUGGAGUCCGGGAGAGGUGAGUGGAACUCCGAGUGUAGAGGUGAAAUUCGUAGAUAUUCGGAAGAACACCAGUGGCGAAGGCGGCUCACUGGACCGGUAUUGACGCUGAGGUGCGAAAGCGUGGGGAGCAAACAGG
rnacentral:rRNA from 1 species